UACGUAGGGUCCGAGCGUUGUCCGGAAUUACUGGGCGUAAAGGGCGCGUAGGCGGCCACCGCAAGUCGACUGUGAAAUCUCCGGGCUUAACCCGGAAAGGUCAGCCGAUACUGCGGGGCUAGAGUGCAGAAGGGGCAACUGGAAUUCUCGGUGUAGCGGUGAAAUGCGUAGAUAUCGAGAGGAACACCUGCGGCGAAGGCGGGUUGCUGGGCUGACACUGACGCUGGUGCGCGAAAGCUAGGGGAGCGAACGGG
rnacentral:rRNA from 1 species